AACGGUGCAACAUUUUUGAAAUUGGUGCUAAAUGAACAGAGAAACAGUGAAGAAAAAAAACAACUGUGAUAUUCCCUUUUGCACAAAAGGUAGAAAACCUACAACUACCAGAAUGCACUGCGCUGCACCGGACCAAUAAAUGCUCCCGCUGGUGGGUGAUGCAAUGCAAGCUCGUCCGAUUAAAUGACAGAAUGACGGCCGGCUGGUAACAAACAAUCUCGUAUAACAGUUAAACUGUAAGCUGAAAUAUGUUUCUGAAAACAUUAAAGGUGAGAAAAAAAG